rnacentral:hammerhead_ribozyme from 1 species
CAGCUGACGAGUUCCAAAUAGGACGAAACGUGCUUCCUG